AAAAGACUACGACUUAGAGAUUGGAGGUACGACUUUUUUAUUUCACAUAUGCAUAUUAAUUUCAAUUGAAUUUUUUUUACUAUUAAUUGUCACUUUUGCAAUAUUUAUUUUUUCGCUGCAGAGGUAUCUUCAUAUAACCGAGUUUGUCGAAGAACUCAUCUAAAUCGUUAGAUCAAGGUCCGAAGGUAUAUCUUCACAUAAUUGUUUCUCUCUUUCUUCUCUCUCUGGUUUUGUAACCUUUUUUGUUUUUAAGUUUUAGAAAAUUU
rnacentral:lncRNA from 1 species